rnacentral:tRNA from 1 species
GGUAGCGUGGCCGAGCGGUCUAAGGCGCUGGAUUUAGGCUCCAGUCUCUUUGGAGGCAUGGGUUCAAAUCCCACCGCUGCCA